AGAGUUUGAUCAUGGCUCAGAACGAACGCUGGCGGCAGGCUUAACACAUGCAAGUCGAACGAGACCUUCGGGUCUAGUGGCGCACGGGUGAGUAACGCGUGGGAACCUGUCCUGUGGUUCGGGAUACCUCCGGGAAACUGGAGUUAAUACCGGGUAUCUCCUGAGGGAGAAAGAUUUAUCGCCAUAGGGUGGGCCCGCGUCCGAUUAGCUAGUUGGUGGGGUAAAGGCCUACCAAGGCUUCGAUCGGUAGCUGGUCUGAGAGGAUGAUCAGCCACACUGGGACUGAGACACGGCCCAGACUCCUACGGGAGGCAGCAGUGGGGAAUAUUGGACAAUGGGGGCAACCCUGAUCCAGCCAUGCCGCGUGAGUGAUGAAGGCCUUCGGGUUGUAAAGCUCUUUCGACGGGGACGAUGAUGACGGUACCCGUAGAAGAAGCCCCGGCUAACUUCGUGCCAGCAGCCGCGGUAAUACGAAGGGGGCGAGCGUUGUUCGGAAUUACUGGGCGUAAAGGGCGCGUAGGCGGCGCACCAAGUCAGGCGUGAAAGCCCUGGGCUUAACCCAGGAACUGCGUUUGAGACUGGUGUGCUGGAGUGCAGGAGAGGUCGGCGGAAUUCCCAGUGUAGAGGUGAAAUUCGUAGAGAUUGGGAAGAACACCGGUGGCGUAGGCGGCCGACUGGACUGUAACUGACGCUGAGGCGCGAAAGCGUGGGGAGCAAACAGGAUUAGAUACCCUAGUAGUCC
rnacentral:rRNA from 1 species